rnacentral:lncRNA from 1 species
UGGUGGACAUCAGGAUAGCAGCUCUGGAAGCCAUCAUUGACUACAAUAAAGUGGACAGGAGUUAUGAAGAACUUCAGUGGCUACUUAAUAUUAUUUAGACUGUUCCUGUUCCCUAUGUGAGACCUAAGAUUCUAUACAUGUUGAAUAAAAAAUCUGCCAUUUACAAAAAACAUGGAAUCUCCUUUAUGCAACGAAUCCCUGGUAGAUUAGCUCUGGAAGCUGAUGAAUUCUGGUACUGCACAUGACUGGAGGUUACAGUAUGGUGCUGUGGACUUGUACUUCACACUAUUUGGUCUCAGCAGACCUUCUUGCUUACCCUUGCCAGAGAUCAGGCUUGUUCUUAACCUAAAAGAAAAGAAAGCUGUCUUGAAUUCUACCAUUAUUCCAGAAGGUGGAGUAGGCAACCAGUAGCCCAGGAUGCCACACUGAGCUAGCUGGAUUCCAGAACCCUUUUUCAAGUAUUCAGGAUGAGGAUGAGGUUGAUAUGGAUACUGUUCACGAUAGUCAAGCCUUCAUUUCCCAUCAUCUGAACAUGCUCGAAAGGCUGUCCACUCCAGGACUCUCUAAGUUCCAAUCAUCCAGCUCCAGAUCUUCCUUAAUGCCACAGCAUUCAUUAGACUGUGACAUCAUACCAACCACAAAAUCCCAAUGGAGUAUGGAACUGUCCUGAAAAGGGGGCAGGUAAAGAGUAACAUUUGGAGAUGGGUCUGCAUUUCAUGGUGGUAGCCCCACUCACCAUGUUUGCUAAGGAGGCUCUGUCAUCCCAACACAGUGAGUACCAUCACCACCAUCAUCAUGAGAAGAAGAAGAAGGAGAAGAAGAAGAAGAAGAAGAAGAAGAAGAAGAAGAAGAAGAAGAAGAAGAAGAAGAAGAAGAAGAAGAAGAAGAAGACACAAGCAGGACAGCAAGGACAAGGAGCCCUUCUCCUUCUCCAGCCCU